rnacentral:lncRNA from 1 species
UUGUAGGUCCUCCAACUGAGUUUCGUUCUUCUUCGGGUGCGCUGCCUGAUUACGUGCAUCGCUAUUAGGUUUUAAAAUUGAAAAUGUAGUUGCUGUGUCAAGUGGACUCAUCUGCCUGUUCUAAGCUUUCUUUGCUACUCCGAGUCUCUCUAAUACUAUUGGCUCUUGCGGAGUGUUAAUCGUGCUUGUAAACAUUUAAUGAAUGAUUAGGUGGAUAUCUAAUUUGGAGACAAACUUUUUAGUAGAUGAGCGGUGCAAAGUCGGCAAGAAAGUGUAUGAAUCAUGUGAAAAGUGUUUCCUUAAAAAAUAAAGUUAGUAAAUGUGUUUUUAACCUCAAAUUAUAUGACCUUGAAAGAUAAUAUUAAAAUGUCUUUUUUAAGAAUGGAUAAAUAUUAAAAAUUCACGUGGAAACAGUGAUUUCCUAAAAGUAAGGUGAAAAAUAAUUAGCCAUAAGAUUCUAAUAAAACAAGUAGUCUCUUCACAAGCCUUUCAACAAUGGUCCAAUGUUAUUCGGCCUUUAGAUUUUUAGAAAUUGAACCACGAGUAAAUUGGACUAAAAGUUGCCCAAGAGAUAUUGAAGGGUAAAAGUAUAAAAACGCCUAUGAUUUUUAUUUCGAAAUUUCACUUUCACUUAAAAAAAAAAUUUCUUUCAAAAAUACACUUAAACGUAGCUCCAAUAUGCUCCUCCAGUUGAAAAAAAGACAGCUAGACAAACAAAUGUUAGUCUAUUUUUGAUAUGGCUGACACUUGGCCAAAUUUGCUGACCUGACAUCUGAUGUGUAUAAAAAUAAUAUUUAUUGAGUAUUUUAUAAUUUAUUUAUUAUGUGUAUUUUAUUAAUUAGUUCUAUUUAUUAAUAAUUUUAUUAAGUAAAAAUGAUUGUGGAAUGCCUUUUUUUUUAAGUAACUAUAUUUUAUGCAAGUAAUUAUUUCUCUUCAGGUUUGUUUUUUUAAAAGUAAUUAUCAUAUCAAUACGUAGUGAAAUAAGUUUUUUUUUUUGUAUUCUUCUCUAAUUAUUUCUUCAGGUUUCAAUGUUGUGAACCAUGCACCACCACCACCACCAUCCACUAUCACCACUAGGAACAUCAACAUCACUAACAAAAUACAAAAUUCAGAUCCAUCAGCAUACACCACCAUGAUCCACCAACAAAAUCCAGAUUCAUCACUAUCCACCACCAUGCACUGUCGCCUCUCAAAAUCACGUCAUCAAUUGAAUUACUACCACCACCACGAAAUCCACCCCGAUCUACCACCACCUACGCCUAACGUUAAGGCGUUUACACCACCCACCACAACACCACCAUAACCCAAAUUAAAAAAAAUAAAAGAAAAGAAGAUGGAAGGAAGUCACCCACCAGAAAAUUUCAUCACCACCAUCACCCACAAUAAAAUAAACCACAACACAAUAACAACAAUUUUAACAAGGCAAGGAAAUAAAAUAAAGUAAAAAAAAAUAUAGCUGAUCUACAUAGUUGUAGAUAUGAAAAAAUCAAUACGCGGCACUGACCACGUGGAAGGGGCUGAAGCGGUGGCGCCACCUGGACUACAUACUGCUACGAUUGUUGCAAGGGCUAGCGGCGUGACCGACUGAUAUGCGGCCGCCGGAGGGACGAUUGAGAGAGGAUUGAUGGAAGUUGGGGUGGAUAUUACGCUUGUCGCCGCUUCUUUUCUGGGAGGUUGUAUGUGGUGGUUGGUGGAGGAGAAAUGAAAUUUUAGUGAAGUGGGGAAAGAGGGAAGUUCGAUUUGUGGUGUUGAGAACAGUGAUGAUGAUGAUAAUGCCAUGUUUUAGCUGAUGAUUUCAG